GACGAACGCUGGCGGCGUGCUUAACACAUGCAAGUCGAACGGUGAAGCCUUCGGGUGGAUCAGUGGCGAACGGGUGAGUAACACGUGAGCAAUCUGCCCUUGACUCUGGGAUAACUUCGGGAAACCGGAGCUAAUACCGGAUAUGACAUCUGGCCGCAUGGUCUGGGUGUAGGAAAGUAUUUAUCGGUCAAGGAUGAGCUCGCGGCCUAUCAGCUUGUUGGGUGGGGAAUCGGCCCACCAAGGCGACGACGGGUAGCCGGCCUGAGAGGGCGACCGGCCACACUGGGACUGAGACACGGCCCAGACUCCUACGGGAGGCAGCAGUGGGGAAUAUUGGACAAGUGGGCGCAAGCCUGAUCCAGCAACGCCGCGUGGAGGACGAAGGUC
rnacentral:rRNA from 1 species